GAAAUGCGAUAAGUAAUGUGAAUUGCAGAAUUCAGUGAAUCAUCGAAUCUUUGAACGCACAUUGCGCCCGCCAGUAUUCUGGCGGGCAUGCCUGUCCGAGCGUCAUUUCAACCAUCAAGCCCCCGGGCUUGUGUUGGGGACCUGCGGCUGCCCGCAGGCCCUGAAAACCAGUGGCGGGCUCACUGUCACACCGAGCGUAGUAGCAAUCACCUCGCUCAGGGCGUGCUGCGGGUUCCGGCCGUUAAACAGCCUUACAAAACCCAAGGUUGACCUCGGAUCAGGUAGGAAGACCCGCUGAACUUAAGC
rnacentral:misc_RNA from 1 species